CCUACGGGGCGCAGCAGUGAGGAAUAUUGGUCAAUGGACGAGAGUCUGAACCAGCCAAGUAGCGUGAAGGAUGACUGCCCUAUGGGUUGUAAACUUCUUUUAUAUGGGAAUAAAAUGUUCCACGUGUGGGAUUUUGUAUGUACCAUAUGAAUAAGGAUCGGCUAACUCCGUGCCAGCAGCCGCGGUAAUACGGAGGAUCCGAGCGUUAUCCGGCUUUAUUGGGUUUAAAGGGAGCGUAGGUGGAUUGUUAAGUCAGUUGGGAAAGUUUGCGGCUCAACCGUAAAAUUGCAGUUGAAACUGGCAGUCUUGAGUACAGUAGAGGUGGGCGGAAUUCGUGGUGUAGCGGUGAAAUGCUUAGAUAUCACGAAGAACUCCGAUUGCGAAGGCAGCUCACUGGACUGCAACUGACACUGAGGCUCGAAAGUGUGGGUAUCAAACAGGAUUAGAUACCCUAGUAGUC
rnacentral:rRNA from 1 species